rnacentral:rRNA from 1 species
ACGCUAGCGGCAGGCCUAAUACAUGCAAGUCGAACGAUAGUGAGAAGCUUGCUUCUCACGAAAGUGGCGCACGGGUGCGUAACGCGUAUGCAACCUACCUUAAUCAGGGGGAUAGCCCGAAGAAAUUCGGAUUAACACCGCAUAAAAUCACAGUAUAGCAUUAUACAAUGAUCAAAUAUUUAUAGGAUUAAGAUGGGCAUGCGUGACAUUAGUUAGUUGGCGGGGUAACGGCCCACCAAGACCACGAUGUCUAGGGGAUCUGAGAGGAUGACCCCCCACACUGGUACUGAGACACGGACCAGACUCCUACGGGAGGCAGCAGUAAGGAAUAUUGGUCAAUGGAGGCAACUCUGAACCAGCCAUGCCGCGUGCAGGAAGACAGCCCUCUGGGUCGUAAACUGCUUUUAUUCGGGAAUAAACCUAUCUACGUGUAGAUAGCUGAAUGUACCGAAGGAAUAAGGAUCGGCUAACUCCGUGCCAGCAGCCGCGGUAAUACGGAGGAUCCAAGCGUUAUCCGGAUUUAUUGGGUUUAAAGGGUGCGUAGGCGGCUUAUUAAGUCAGGGGUGAAAGACGGUGGCUCAACCAUCGCAGUGCCUUUGAUACUGAUGAGCUUGAAUAUACUAGAGGUAGGCGGAAUGUGACAAGUAGCGGUGAAAUGCAUAGAUAUGUCACAGAACACCG